rnacentral:tRNA from 1 species
ACUAUUUUGGCAGAUUAGUGCGGUAAAUUUAGAAUUUAUUUAUGUAAUUAUUAUUAGGAUUGCAGGUAGUA